rnacentral:rRNA from 1 species
UACAUGGGGUGCAAACGUUGCUCGGAAUUAUUGGGCGUAAAGCGCGCGUAGGCGGUUGCUUAUGUCGGAUGUGAAAGCCCUCGGCUCAACUGAGGAAGUGCAUCCGAAACUGGGCAGCUAGAGUACUAAAGAGGGUCGCGGAAUUCCCGGUGUAGAGGUGAAAUUCGUAGAUAUCAGGAGGAACACCGGUGGCGAAGGCGACCCGCUGGCCAGCGACUGACGCUGAGACGCGAAAGCGUGGGGAGCAAACAGG